UACGGAGGGUGCAAGCGUUAUCCGGAUUCACUGGGUUUAAAGGGUGCGUAGGUGGGCAGGUAAGUCAGUGGUGAAAUCUCCGGGCUUAACCCGGAAACUGCCGUUGAUACUAUUUGUCUUGAAUAUUGUGGAGGUAAGCGGAAUAUGUCAUGUAGCGGUGAAAUGCUUAGAUAUGACAUAGAACACCAAUUGCGAAGGCAGCUUACUACACAAUUAUUGACACUGAGGCACGAAAGCGUGGGGAUCAAACAGG
rnacentral:rRNA from 1 species